UGACUUGGUGUCUCACAUUUAUCCUCCGAGGCACCCCGUUCCUCUGCUAUCAGCCCUGCCUUGCCAUAUGGGUUGUCUCAAAACCAAUGGUCCAAAUGUUUCCUUGUGAGUGCCAUUUCUGGGAACGUGGGAGCCUGCAUGUGAUGAGGACUCUCUGCUGGGAACAACUUCAGGAUACCCAGAGGUCUUUCAAGGAUACCACACAUUGAGCAUGGAAAUCCUCACAGAAAAGAACAAACUGUGUUUGGAUGUUUUGGUUGUACUUGAAAACCUUACAGAAAUGGGGGAGCCAAAGGGAAUUCAGACUGCUGUUAGGUAACAAGAAAACUAUGCUAAUAAUUUUCCACGUAAGUAAGCAAGUAUUUCACGACUGAUGCUGCAAUGGG